AGAAGAAGGGAUUCACUCGUGUGAAGUAAAAGUCUUUCAAGAUGAAUUGGCCAACUUAAAUCUUAGUAAAUUAUUUUCACUUAUUAAGGGAUAGUAUAAUUAACUUUAGAAUAUAGAGAGGUUGUUUUAUAAAUUAUUAUUGGUGUUAAGUAGUAGAUGAAAAGAAAGAUGUUGUUGGAAUAGUAGAUAAUUACACCAUUAACUCUUCAACAAAUGGAAUGAUGUUGGAAAAAUGUUGUUUUAAUUAUGAAAAUAUUAUAUAUUUUCGAUUCCAU
rnacentral:lncRNA from 1 species